rnacentral:rRNA from 1 species
AAUGCGAUGAGAGGACGGAGAAGGUUAAGUCAGCCUGGCGUUGGUUGUCCAGGUGGAAGACAGUAGGCAUGCAUCUUAGGCAAAUCCGGGGUGCUCUAUGCUGAGAGUCGAUAGCAAGCUGUACUUGUACAGUGAAGUGGCUGAUACCAUGCUUCCAGGAAAAGUCUCUAAGCUUCAGUUACACAGGAAUCGUACCCGAAACCGACACAGGUGGUCAGGUCGAGUAGACCAAAGCGCUUGAGAGAACUCUGCUGAAGGAACUAGGCAAAAUGGUACCGUAACUUCGGGAGAAGGUACGCUGCUGACGGUGAUGGGACUUGCUCCCUGAGCGGUUGGCAGCCGCAGAAACCAGGCCGCUGCAACUGUUUAUUAAAAACAUAGCACUCUGCAAACACGAAAGUGGACGUAUAGGGUGUGAUGCCUGCCCGGUGCUGGAAGGUUAAUUGAUGGGGUUAGCGUAAGCGAAGCUCUUGAUCGAAGCCCCAGUAAACGGCGGCCGUAACAAUAACGGUCCUAAGGUAGCGAAAUUCCUUGUCGGGUAAGUUCCGACCUGCACGAAUGGCAUAAUGAUGGCGGCGCUGUCUCCAGCAGAGGCUCAGUGAAAUCGAAAUCGCUGUGAAGAUGCAGUGUACCCGCGGCUAGACGGAAAGACCCCGUGAACCUUUACUGCAGCUUGACAUUGAACUUUGACCUUACUUGUGUAGGAUAGGUGGGAGGCUUUGAAGUUGGAACGCUAGUUCCAAUGGAGCCGUCCUUGAAAUACCACCCUGGUAAUGUUGAGGUUCUAACUCUGCCCCGUAAUCCGGGGCGAGGACCAUGUCUGGUGGGUAGUUUGACUGGGGCGGUCUCCUCCUAAAGAGUAACGGAGGAGUACGAAGGUGCGCUCAGCGUGGUCGGAAAUCACGCGUAGAGUAUAAAGGCAAAAGCGCGCUUAACUGCGAGACCCACAAGUCGAGCAGGUACGAAAGUAGGUCUUAGUGAUCCGGUGGUUCUGUAUGGAAGGGCCAUCGCUCAACGGAUAAAAGGUACUCUGGGGAUAACAGGCUGAUACCGCCCAAGAGUUCAUAUCGACGGCGGUGUUUGGCACCUCGAUGUCGGCUCAUCACAUCCUGGGGCUGAAGCAGGUCCCAAGGGUAUGGCUGUUCGCCAUUUAAAGAGGUACGCGAGCUGGGUUUAGAACGUCGUGAGACAGUUCGGUCCCUAUCUACCGUGGGCGCUGGAAAUUUGAGAGGAUCUGCUCCUAGUACGAGAGGACCAGAGUGGACGAACCUCUGGUGUACCGGUUGUCACGCCAGUGGCAUCGCCGGGUAGCUAUGUUCGGAAGGGAUAACCGCUGAAAGCAUCUAAGCGGGAAGCCUACCUCAAGAUAAGAUUUCCCCAGGACUUUAUGUCCUCUAAAGAGCCGUUCGAGACCAGGACGUUGAUAGGUUGGGUGUGGAAGCACGGUGACGUGUGAAGCUGACCAAUACUAAUUGCUCGUGAGGCUUGAC